rnacentral:tRNA from 1 species
ACGGCUAUAAGUUAAUGGUAGACUAGUUGCCUUCCACGCAAUCCGUGUCGAUUCGAAUUCGACUAGCCGUA